rnacentral:rRNA from 1 species
AGAGUUUGAUCCUGGCUCAGGAUGAACGCUAGCUACAGGCUUAACACAUGCAAGUCGAGGGGAAACGGCAUUGAGUGCUUGCACUCUUUGGACGUCGACCGGCGCACGGGUGAGUAACGCGUAUCCAACCUUCCCAUUACUGUGGGAUAACCUGCCGAAAGGCAGACUAAUACCGCAUAGUCUUCGAUGACGGCAUCAGAUUUGAAGUAAAGAUUUAUCGGUAAUGGAUGGGGAUGCGUCUGAUUAGCUUGUUGGCGGGGUAACGGCCCACCAAGGCAACGAUCAGUAGGGGUUCUGAGAGGAAGGUCCCCCACAUUGGAACUGAGACACGGUCCAAACUCCUACGGGAGGCAGCAGUGAGGAAUAUUGGUCAAUGGGCGAGAGCCUGAACCAGCCAAGUAGCGUGCAGGAUGACGGCCCUAUGGGUUGUAAACUGCUUUUGUAUGGGGAUAAAGUUAGGGACGUGUCCCUAUUUGCAGGUACCAUACGAAUAAGGACCGGCUAAUUCCGUGCCAGCAGCCGCGGUAAUACGGAAGGUCCAGGCGUUAUCCGGAUUUAUUGGGUUUAAAGGGAGCGUAGGCUGGAUAUUAAGUGUGUUGUGAAAUGUAGACGCUCAACGUCUGACUUGCAGCGCAUACUGGUUUCCUUGAGUACGCACAACGUUGGCGGAAUUCGUCGUGUAGCGGUGAAAUGCUUAGAUAUGACGAAGAACUCCGAUUGCGAAGGCAGCUUACGGGAGCACAACUGACGCUGAAGCUCGAAGGUGCGGGUAUCAAACAGGAUUAGAUACCCUGGUAGUCCGCACAGUAAACGAUGGAUGCCCGCUGUUGGUACCUGGUAUCAGCGGCUAAGCGAAAGCAUUAAGCAUCCCACCUGGGGAGUACGCCGGCAACGGUGAAAC